AACGUAGGGGGCAAGCGUUGUCCGGAAUUACUGGGCGUAAAGGGCGUGUAGGCGGCUAAUCAAGUCAAUAGUGAAACCCGGCGGCUCAACCGCCGGCCUGCUAUCGAAACUGACUAGCUUGAGUGCAGGAGAGGAGAGUGGAAUUCCCAGUGUAGCGGUGAAAUGCGUAGAUACUGGGAGGAACACCAGUGGCGAAGGCGGCUCUCUGGCCUGCAACUGACGCUGAGGCGCGAAAGCGUGGGUAGCGAACAGGAUUAGAUACC
rnacentral:rRNA from 1 species